CAAACAGACAGAGGAUGAAAGAGGAGGAGUUUAACAUCUCAGAUGAUCUUGUUACAUUUGCUAGACUGUCACAAAGCUCAGUCCUGCUAGUGAACACACACACACACACACGUACAAUGAUACUUCAUUCAGUCAUUCUGCUCUCUGCCUUGGCAUGUGUGAGUUUUGGAGAUGAAAUCACACCAGAUCGCAGUGAAGAGUUUGCUGCAGUGUCUUCAACUGUUACAUUAUCCUGCAGUUAUUCCUCUGCAUAUUCACUUCUAUGGUACCGUCAGUAUCCCGGAUCAGCUCCUCAAUUCCUUGUGCUCAUAAUAGAGGGUGUCAAAGAGAGUAAGACAUCUGAGGUAGAUCCCAGAUUCUCUACUAAGACUACAAAAGAGAUCAAACGUGUGGAUCUGGAGAUCUCCUCUGCUGCUCUGAAAGACUCUGCUGUGUAUUACUGUGCUCUGAGGCCCACAGUCACAGGAAACACUAGAACACUGUACAAAAACCUGACACAACUGAAGCCAGAAGAGGGUGUUCUUCUCAUUUCUGUUGGCCUUUAUGUACACAAAGAGCUAAGACUCAUCAUGGAAGAUCAAAUCCUGCCACAGGGUGGAGCUCCAGACUUAAAUCAGUGAGUGAAGAACAAGAGUUUGUCAUUUC